rnacentral:sRNA from 1 species
UUGUGGUGUGUUCUAGAUUCAUUCCGGCACCACCAUGUAAGUGUUUGCUUACCGACUGCCUUAAUUCCUGGUCCAGCUGUCCGACCCUGACUCUCUCCUGUUCCUUUCCUCAGGUCGAAGGUUUCCUUUAAGAUCACGCUGACGUCGGACCCACGGCUGCCGUACAAAGUGUGAGUAGUUCGGCCGAGAUGGGCCUUUUGGGGCCGGACAAGACGGGGCUGGGUUGGGGGUGAUCCGAGCCUUUCCAACAACUACCCCACGCGGUCUUCAUCUCUUCACUUUCUCUACUUUCCUGGCUCGCGCCCUUCCAGGAGCCUCUCCCACCGGAGCCUGCGAGGAGAGACUCAGUGUUCCUGAAAGUACACCUUUCACAGCAGUCUUAAAGUUUGCAGCAGAAGAAGUAAGUACAGAAGUUGGAACAACCUUUAUGGAAUGCGGUUUGCCAAUAUGCUUCAAAUGUCUUUAAGAGUUGCAUGCACUUUGACCUAUCAUUUCCAUGUGGCUUCAUUACUAGGUUUAUGUUAUCAAAAAGUAGGAUGAUAGUUAAGACUUACUUUCAGAUAUAAGAAGCAUGAGUUAAACAAAUUGACAUAUCUGAUUAAUGCAACCGUUGAAAAUUAUAAGAAUUUAAUGAAUUUUUAUGAAAAUUA